GAUGAACGCUGGCGGCGUGCCUAAUACAUGCAAGUCGAGCGAACAGACGAGGAGCUUGCUCCUCUGACGUUAGCGGCGGACGGGUGAGUAACACGUGGAUAACCUACCUAUAAGACUGGGAUAACUUCGGGAAACCGGAGCUAAUACCGGAUAAUAUAUUGAGCGCAUGGUUCAAUAGUGAAAGACGGUUUUGCUGUCACUUAUAGAUGGAUCCGCGCCGCAUUAGCUAGUUGGUAAGGUAACGGCUUACCAAGGCGACGAUGCGUAGCCGACCUGAGAGGGUGAUCGGCCACACUGGAACUGAGACACGGUCCAGACUCCUACGGGAGGCAGCAGUAGGGAAUCUUCCGCAAUGGGCGAAAGCCUGACGGAGCAACGCCGCGUGAGUGAUGAAGGUCUUCGGAUCGUAAAACUCUGUUAUUAGGGAAGAACAAAUGUGUAAGUAACUAUGCACGUCUUGACGGUACCUAAUCAGAAAGCCACGGCUAACUACGU
rnacentral:rRNA from 1 species